AACGAACGCUGGCGGCAUGCCUAACACAUGCAAGUCGAACGAGACCUUCGGGUCUAGGGGCGGACGGGUGCGUAAGGCGGGGGAAGCUGCCCUUAGGUUCGGAAUAACUCCCCGAAGGGGGUGCUCAGAACGGAGAAUGUCUUCGGACCAAAGAUUUAUCGCCUUUGGGUGGGCGCGUGUUGGAUUAGCUAGUUGGGAGGGUAAAAGCCGACCAAGGCGACGAUGCAUAGCUGGUCUGGGAGGAUGCUCAGGAACACUGGGACUGAGACACGGCCCAGACUCCUACGCAACGCUGCAGUGGAGUAUAUUAUACAAUGGGCGCUGGCCUAGUCCAGCCACGCCCCGUGAGUGAUGCAUGCCUUAGGGUUGUAAAGCUCUUUUACCCGGGAUGAUAAUGACAGUACCGGGAGAAUAAGCUCCGGCUAACUCCGUG
rnacentral:rRNA from 1 species